GUGCUCGCUUCAACAGCACAUAUACCCAAACUGGAACAACACAGAGAAGAUUAUUAUGGCCCCACACAAAGAUGGCAUGCAGAUUUUUGAAGCAGUCCAUAUUUUG
ensembl:snRNA U6 U6 spliceosomal RNA